rnacentral:rRNA from 1 species
UACGUAGGGGGCUAGCGUUGUCCGGAAUCAUUGGGCGUAAAGAGCGUGUAGGCGGUCCGGUAAGUCCGCUGUGAAAGUCGGGGGCUCAACCCUCGAAUGCCGGUGGAUACUGUCGGGCUAGAGUGCGGAAGAGGCGAGUGGAAUUCCUGGUGUAGCGGUGAAAUGCGCAGAUAUCAGGAGGAACACCUAUUGCGAAGGCAGCUCGCUGGGACGUUACUGACGCUGGGACGCGAAAGCGUGGGGAGCAAACAGG